AGACUGCCAUUGAGGAAUUGAGGGCGGGAUACUAUUCAUUUUGAUGCAUGUAUCAUGCAUUCAGUCUGGUGGGGGUGGAGCAGUGAGGCUGGAGACCCAGGCAGGGGACGCCUCAGGGCUUGGAGGAGAGGUCGACGAUACGGACAAGGAGCAGUAGCCUCAUGGAUCUGCAGUGAAGCGUCAUCGAGGGAUGGCUGAUGUCAAGGUGAGCUCCUGUCAAUCCUUCUCCCUCUUUAACUCCUGAUCUGUGUCACUCUCUCUCCCUCUCUUUCUGCCUAUAUAUGCAAAGAUCGCACUGUUUAUUUCCUUCUCAAUGUUGUUACCGUGUUCAUGUUUUUUUUGGAAAUUAAGAGGACUGUAUGCACUUUGUAAGCAUAUAAAUGUUUUUUCUCCUAUCAUUUUUUUUGACAUGAUGAUAGGUUCUGGAAUUUUGGAGUUAACAAAUCUGUUUACAUAUUUGUUUGUCAGGCACACAUAGCUCCGGCUGCCGCGGAUAGGAAGUACUCGACGCAUGAUAUCCUCCUGACUCUGACUGAACCCUGUUUCGUGCAAACAUGCUCUGUAUUUUUUUGGUAGGAACAUUUAACUCUAAAGACAUAACUAUUCAGACUGCAAGAUUUUUGCUUUGGGUUUCAGAAGAACUGUAUAGACAUGCUUGUUGUAGUAUCUGUGUUAUGUACUCAGUGUCAAAUACAAAGUUCAAAUAUCAUUUGAUACAAGGAACAGGCAUCUGAACUUUAUAAAAGUAGAUAUAGCAAACAUUAGGCUUGAUUGCAUUAAUAAUUUAUAUAGUUGCAGAUGUACUUACUUCUGGUACUAAUCAUUUGAUGCUUUUCUUUUUAUUUCCACCAUUACAAGAUUAAGCUUGACAGUGAAAUCUUGGAUAGUAUGUAACACCUUUUCUGCAUAUUUAGAAUAUGUAUGCAAACUCACACUGGUUUAAUUUUGCUUUGGUUUUACUAACCAAAUUAGUUUCAAUAAUCCAGUUCCAUUUUUGUCUUCCCUGCUAAUUUGCGGCUUUCUGUGCCAGAUACAUCAUAGUUAAUAAAAAAACUUCUGCUGUAAUGGAGGUACUCAUCUUUAGUAGUGUGCUUAAUUUGAUUCAUCACCUCAAGUGUUUUACACAAAAUUUGAACUAUGUGUAUCUACUGGUGAGUCCUUGGGCCUCGCUCUAUUUCAGUUUUCAAGAUGGAAGAAUGUCUUAAAGUUUCAACUACUAUUUACUAAUUGUAGGCUCCUUAGAAGAUUCCACCUAAUCUUUAGAAACAGAAAAUUAUAAGUAUAUUGUCCGCUAGAUGCAAGCAUGAGUAGCUCAAAACUGAAACGCUGCCAUCUCGGACCUCCUCCAUGGUUUGCCAGGCUACCAAGAUCAAUAAUGUAGCGACAUGAGGAGGGAAUUUGAUCAAGACAUAAGUAGGUAAAUACCCCUAGCUAUUUUCUUUAUAUAUUUUGCCCUUCUCUCACUGUAUUCUAUUUUGCCUUUUAGUGAUUGUAAAAUUAAAGUCUUCAAUAAACAUACAUUUACUUAUGCUUCAGAGGAUAAGCCUUCUGUAAAUACACCCACCCACGCCUAAGAUUUUAGCAAAUAAAUCUUGGCUCAAUAACUUUUGUUUUUAAUGGAAGGAACAAUUUCUUCAGUGACUAACUACAUCUUUUUCUUUGCUAGGCUGUAGACAAGAUAGGUGAUAUUAAAUGUUUCCUCACAAAUAACCUCUCUAAUUGACGAGAAUAACUGGGUAUGUAACAAUGUUAACAUUGGUAGUUUAUCGGCACAGUACUAAUGUUGCCUUAAUGCACAAUAAACUCAAAUAUCGUCCUCUCAGUAUAUGCCUCUACAAAAGGGUGCUUAAUGAAUUCAAUGGUUUGCCUCAUUUGUACAGAAAUUUGGACCAUUCUAGCUCAUUGAGAUAGUUUCUAAUUUAGUUUGUUGAUUAUAUUUUAUUACUACAGUUUUACUGGGCUGUGUCCUCAUGGAUUUCAAGUUUCGCUGGAGAUAUGUCAUCUGCCAAUGUUAGAAGAAUAGGUGCUUCCAUAGAAAAAGGUCUUUGUCUCGAUUCCUUCCCUUUGAAGGAAACUCCAAAUCGAGUCGUCGCGCCAUGCCUAGGCUUGCUAAAAGCUAACUCAUGUCUUAGAGAUUUUUAGUAGCGAAUUUAAGUGCAUGGUUACUGAUGUGGCUAUGGAAUGCACGGGUUGUACAGCAACUAAGUUUGUAGAGUGAAUUCACGUGCUCAUAAAGGAAGUGGUGAAACCCAAUAAACAAUAUCAUAUGGAUGCAUCUUAAGAGGUGCACAAUUGGCAUAUAUUUCGAUUGUGCUCCUUCAGGCCAUCUUUGAUGCUCAGAUUGUGCUUUCAUUGACAUUCACAUAUUCUUGUUGUUAUUGUGUAUGUGCAGCUACUGAUAUAGGUCUCUUAUAUGAAUGUUAGAUGUCAUUUCUAAAUUCAUGUUGUAACUAUUUCUGCCUUGCUAAGCUGAGAUCAGGGACUGCUGGUCAUUUCUGAAGAUCAGGACACAACCAGCCUCAUUUCUAAAGAUCAGGACCCAACCAGCCAUCCUAAUCUGAGUGUCGGAUAUUUGGAAGUUUGAAGAAGCCUAACAUGCAUAACAUUAGGAGCCCCCCUCUCCCAGUCGAGAUCAGGCAAGGCAGAUGGGAAGCAGCGGCGCCCCCUCUCCCUCGAGCUCUAGAUCCAUGGCACCAGCAUCGAG
rnacentral:lncRNA from 1 species